rnacentral:rRNA from 1 species
AUUGAACGCUGGCGGCAGGCCUAACACAUGCAAGUCGAGCGGAUGAGGGGUGCUUGCUCCUGGAUCUAGCGGCGGACGGGUGUGUAAUGCCUAUGAAUCUGCCUGGCAGUGGUGGAUAACGUCCGGAGACGGGUGCUAAUACUGCAUAAGUCCUGCGGGAGAAAGAGGGGGAUCUUCGGACCUCACGCUAUCAGAUGAGCCUAGGUCGGACUAGCUAGCUGGUGGGGUAAAGACCUACCAAGGCGACGAUCCGUAACUGGUCUGAGAGGAUGAUCAGUCACACUGGAACGGAGACAGGGUCAUUGCGCCUACGGGAGGCAGCAGUGGGCAAUAUUAGACAGUAGGGGAGAACCUGACCCAGUCGUGGCGCGUGUGUGGAGAAGAUCCUCGGAUUGUAAAGCACUCUAAGUGGGGGGGAAGCGCAGUAAGUUAAUACCUUGCUGUAGUGACGGUACCGGCUGAAUAAGCACCGGCUAACUACGUG